AAGACCUUGCGCCUUUGGAGCGGCCGAUGCCUGAUUAGCUUGUUGGUGAGGUAAAGGCUUACCAAGGCUUCGAUCAGUAGCUGGUCUGAGAGGACGACCAGCCACACUGGGACUGAGACACGGCCCAGACUCCUACGGGAGGCAGCAGUGGGGAAUUUUGGACAAUGGGGGAAACCCUGAUCCAGCCAUGCCGCGUGAGUGAAGAAGGCCUUCGGGUUGUAAAGCUCUUUCAGCCGGAACGAAACGGUUACGAUUAAUACCUGUAACUACUGACGGUACCGGAAGAAGAAGCACCGGCUAACUACGUGCCAGCAGCCGCGGUAAUACGUAGGGUGCGAGCGUUAAUCGGAAUUACUGGGCGUAAAGCGUGCGCAGGUGGUUUUGUAAGUCAGAUGUGAAAUCCCCGGGCUUAACCUGGGAACU
rnacentral:rRNA from 1 species